CAGGAUGGACCCUGCUCACCACUGUGGCCCAGGGUACACAGCCAUGUGCAAGGACUCAGAAGCCUUGGAAAAAGCAGUGAAUUGCUGGUGAUUACCAAGGAAAGAGAAGAAACACCAGACUUUAGAGAACCUUCCUGCACAGCUCAGUGGCCUGUCUCCAGGUGUAUUUCUGAGCUGAGGAGACAGGGGUCCUGGAGGCAGAGGAAGGAACCCAGAGGAACUGACCUGUCCCAUGUGUCCAAGAGAUACAUGUGUGACCAGGUUAGAGGCAGCCACGGAACUGAGAAGCAGCGAAAGCACAUCUGGAAUCCAGAAGUGAAUACAGAGAGGCAGAGACAGCUCAGCCCCACAGCUCUGCUGCAGGCCUCCAUAGCAUCCUGGCCACUGCACAGUCACAAUGGGAGAUCCUGAGGCCCUUGCCCAGCUACCAGCUGUAGUCUCUGAUUGUACACAUUACAUUCAAACUUAAGUCAUUUGAUGGGUAUUCUUUACAUCUGGUUCAAAACAUACCCUAACACACUAACACACUAACACCCUAACACACUAACACACAAACACACCCAUGCACAGUGGAUAAUAAUGAAAUUUCCUUGAAGUGGAGUCAGUCAAGGUAACAAGGGGUUCUGCGAAGCCAGCAUGGACCUUGUUCACCACUGUGGCCCAGGGUACACAGCCAUGUGCAAGGCUGUGUAGGGCCAUGAACUUCAGGAGCGAAUCAGUGAGAAUUCCAAAGUAUCAUGCUUGGGAAACUGCAGAAAACAGUAACAUCACUCAACAGAGAACAAAGCCUAACAUGCAGGGGACUGUGUAAUAGGCACUCAGAUCUCCUUCAUGGAAGAGGUCUCUGUUGAUUGAUACAGAAGUAGGGCAAAGGCAGACCCACAAGUGGGUGGGCUUAGAAGAACAAGAAAGAUGUGUUCUGACCCAGGAGCACUGAGCAUCUUAUCCUGACCAGGAUUUGAAGAGAACACUGUGUGAGGCAGCUUGAAGAACUUCUUCCCUAGGAACAGUUCCUUUCUGUUCUGGCAGGAGUCAAGUG